rnacentral:rRNA from 1 species
GACGAACGCUGGCGGCGUGCUUAACACAUGCCAGUCGAACGGAAAGGCCCUGCUUUUGUGGGGUGCUCGAGUGGCGAACGGGUGAGUAACACGUGAGUAACCUGCCCUUGACUUUGGGAUAACUUCAGGAAACUGGGGCUAAUACCGGAUAGGAGCUCCUGCUGCAUGGUGGGGGUUGGAAAGUUUCGGCGGUUGGGGAUGGACUCGCGGCUUAUCAGCUUGUUGGUGGGGUAGUGGCUUACCAAGGCUUUGACGGGUAGCCGGCCUGAGAGGGAGACCGGCCACAUUGGGACUGAGAUACGGCCCAGACUCCUACGGGAGGCAGCAGUGGGGAAUAUUGCACAAUGGGCGGAAGCCUGAUGCAGCAACGCCGCGUGCGGGAUGACGGCCUUCGGGUUGUAAACCGCUUUCGCCUGUGACGAAGCGUGAGUGACGGUAAUGGGUAAAGAAGCACCGGCUAACUACGUG